UGGCUCAGAACGAACGCUGGCGGCAGGCUUAACACAUGCAAGUCGAACGCGUGUAGCAAUACACGAGUGGCGCACGGGUGAGUAACGCGUGGAUAUCUGCCUUUUGGUUCGGAAUAACUCCGGGAAACUGGAGCUAAUACCGGAUGGUUCCUACGGGAUAAAGAUUUAUCGCCAAAAGAUGAGUCCGCGUACGAUUAGCUAGUUGGUGAGGUAAUGGCUCACCAAGGCGACGAUCGUUAGCUGGUCUGAGAGGACGAUCAGCCACACUGGGACUGAGACACGGCCCAGACUCCUACGGGAGGCAGCAGUGGGGAAUAUUGGACAAUGGGGGCAACCCUGAUCCAGCCAUGCCGCGUGAGUGAUGAAGGCCUUCGGGUUGUAAAGCUCUUUUGGCGGGGACGAUGAUGACGGUACCCGCAGAAUAAGCCCCGGCUAACUUCGUGCCAGCAGCCGCGGUAAGACGAAGGGGGCUAGCGUUGUUCGGAAUUACUGGGCGUAAAGCGAGUGUAGGUGGUUGUCAUAGUCAGGUGUGAAAGCCUUGAGCUCAACUCAAGAAAUGCACUUGAUACUGGGCGACUAGAGGACCGGAGAGGAUAGUGGAAUUCCCAGUGUAGUGGUGAAAUACGUAGAGAUUGGGAAGAACACCAGUGGCGAANGCGGCUAUCUGGACGGNUUCUGACACUAANACUCGAAAGCGUGGGGAGCAAA
rnacentral:rRNA from 1 species